AUUGAACGCUGGCGGCAGGCUUAACACAUGCAAGUCGAACGGUAACAGGAGAAAGCUUGCUUUCUUGCUGACGAGUGGCGGACGGGUGAGUAAUGCUUGGGAAUCUGGCUUAUGGAGGGGGAUAACGACGGGAAACUGUCGCUAAUACCGCGUAGAAUCGAGAGAUGAAAGUGCGGGACCGCAAGGCCGCAUGCCAUAGGAUGAGCCCAAGUGGGAUUAGGUAGUUGGUGGGGUAAAGGCCUACCAAGCCGACGAUCUCUAGCUGGUCUGAGAGGAUGACCAGCCACACCGGGACUGAGACACGGCCCGGACUCCUACGGGAGGCAGCAGUGGGGAAUAUUGCGCAAUGGGGGCAACCCUGACGCAGCCAUGCCGCGUGAAUGAAGAAGGCCUUCGGGUUGUAAAGUUCUUUCGGUAUUGAGGAAGGUUGUUGUGUUAAUAGCACGACAAAUUGACGUUAAAUACAGAAGAAGCACCGGCUAACUCCGUGCCAGCAGCCGCGGUAAUACGGAGGGUGCGAGCGUUAAUCGGAAUAACUGGGCGUAAAGGGCACGCAGGCGGACUUUUAAGUGAGGUGUGAAAUCCCCGGGCUUAACCUGGGAAUUGCAUUUCAGACUGGGAGUCUAGAGUACUUUAGGGAGGGGUAGAAUUCCACGUGUAGCGGUGAAAUGCGUAGAGAUGUGGAGGAGUACCGAAGGCGAAGGCAGCCCCUUGGGAAUGUACUGACGCUCAUGUGCGAAAGCGUGGGGAGCAAACAGG
rnacentral:rRNA from 1 species